CACAGACGUUUGGGAUAUCAAACCAUUCUGCAUCGCACACCUGGACGCAUUACAGCUUGCUGCAGUUAAAGUGAAGUGACUAACUCUUUGUUCCGCGCAAGAGAAUUCAGUAUGAAUCAGAAACACGUGUACAUACUGGCCAUUGCUGGAAUAAUUACUAUGGCGGUUGUCUUCCUCAGAUUGUCGAAUUGUGUGUCGUUGCCUGCGGUAUUUAUCUCAAGGACACAAUCAACACACAGUCCCCAGCCGGCACGUCAGGGGUUACCAGAAGAGUAUGAUACGAACAUAAAAACAGAAAAUAUUGAACAAAUCAGCCUUCUAGGUAAUAAGCAACUUGUUCUGAUUUGUAUGC